UAAAGGCAUGGUCCUGACCUUAUUAUUAGCUCUAACCCAACUUACACAUGCAAGUCUCCGCAACCCCGUGAGUAUGCCCUUAAUCCCCUGCCCGGGGACGAGGAGCGGGCAUCAGGCACAAAUUUUUAGCCCAAGACGCCUGGCCGAGCCACACCCCCAAGGGAAUUCAGCAGUGAUAAAUAUUAAGCCAUGAG
rnacentral:rRNA from 1 species